rnacentral:rRNA from 1 species
UACGUAGGGUGCAAGCGUUAAUCGGAAUUACUGGUCGUAAAGCGUGCGCAGGCGGUUAUGUAAGACAGGUGUGAAAUCCCCGGGCUUAACCUGGGAACUGCAUUUGUGACUGCAUAGCUAGAGUACGGUAGAGGGGGAUGGAAUUCCGCGUGUAGCAGUGAAAUGCGUAGAUAUGCGGAGGAACACCGAUGGCGAAGGCAAUCCCCUGGACCUGUACUGACGCUCAUGCACGAAAGCGUGGGGAGCAAACAGG